GAUGAACGCUGGCGGUAUGCUUAACACAUGCAAGUCGAACGGACUCUUCGGAGUUAGUGGCGGACGGGUGCGUAACGCGUGAGAAUCUGGCUUUGGGUUCGGGACAACCACUGGAAACGGUGGCUAAUACCGGAUGUGCUGAGAGGUAAAAAAGAAAUUGCCUGAAGAUGAGGCCGCGUCUGAUUAGCCAGUUGGUGAGGUAAAGACCCACCAAGGCGGCGAUCAGUAGCUGGUCGGAGGGGAUGACCAGCCACACUGGGACUGAGAAACGGCCCAGACCCCUACGGGAGGCAGCAGUGGUGAAUUAUCCGGAAUGGGCGAAAGCCUGACGGAGCAAUACCGCGGGGGGGAAGAAGGCGCUUGGAUGGUAGACCUCUUUUCUUAGGGAAGAUCAAAAUGACGGUACCGAAAGAAUCAGCAUCGGCUAACUCCGUG
rnacentral:rRNA from 1 species